rnacentral:lncRNA from 1 species
GUAAGAUCUGAAACUAUAAGAACUAUAGAAGAAAACCUAAGAAAAACUCUUUUUCUUUAAAGAGAUGGAGUCUCUCUCUCACACCCAGGCUGAAGUGCAGUGGCACAAACAUGGUUCACUGCAACCUCAACUCCCUGGACUCAAGCGAUUAUCUUGCCUCAGCCUCUUGAAGACAUAAUCAACAGAGUAAGUAGACCACCUGCAGAAUGGGAGAAAAUAUUGGCUAACCAUGAAUCCAACAAAGGACUAAUAUCUAGAACCCAUAGAGAACUCAAACAAUUCAACAAGUAAAAAACAAAUAACCUCAUUAAAAAGUGGACAAAGGACACGAACAGUUUUCAAAAGAAGACACAUAAAUAGCCAAUAAGCAUAUUUUAAAAAUGCUCAGCAUCACUAAUCUAGAAAUGUGAAUUGGUACAACUUAUAUGGCAAACAGGAGAUUUUUCAAAGAACUAAAAAUCAAAUUAUCAUUUCAUCCAGCAACCUCACUACUGGGUAUCUACCUAAAAGAAAAUAAAUUAUUAUAUAAAAAGAUAUCUGCACUCAUAUGUUUAUCACAGCACUAUUCACAAUAGGAAAGAUACAGAACUAACCUAUAUGUAUAUGUGGUAUAUACAUAUUCCAUGGUAUGUAUAUACCACAUUUUCUUUAUCCAAUCAUACAUUGAUGGCAUUCCAACCAUACAUGGUUGUCCAUUUUUAUGGCUCAUAUAUCUUUCCUACCAUCUUUGAACUCAUAAAGCUGAAUGAAAAAAUCAAUACAUUUCCUUCAAUGUCAGAAAAUUCUGUGCUCAAUUAACAGUCAAAAUAUUAUCUUACAAAUAAGAAUAUCUCUAUAUACUGCCAUGGAGUGAAUUCCAGGAUUUUUUGAAAAGUUAAGAAAAUAAAGUAGAUAGAACUAACUGUAUAUAAAAUUUUAACACUACCUACAUGGAGGGAUAUAUGGUACAGUGGUACAUACCUGUUGUCCCAGCUACUCAAGAGGCUGAGAUAGAAGGAUAGCUUGAGCCUAGAAGUUUGAGACCAGUCUGGGCAACAUAGAGAGAUCCUGUCUCUUAAGAAAAAAAAAGUCAAUAUUACUUACAAGUAAGUAGACCAUGAGGACUCUGCCUUCAUGAAUGGAUUAAUGCUGUUAUCAAUUACUCAGUCUUAGGUAUUCUGUUACAGCAGCAAAAAGUGGACUAAGACACUGAAUACCAAGUUGACGGCUUAAUCACUAGAGAACAAUUAUCUCAAGUUACAUUAAAAUUUGGUAAUUUGACUGUGUAGAUGAUGGAAUAUACACCCUAAGGGCCAAAAAACAAAAACAAAGCCCACAAGUAAAAUUCAAACUGUUUUCAGUUAUCACAUUGUUAGUAAUAAAACAGGAAUUGAGAUUCUGAAAUAGGAAUAGAAAGAUUGAGAUACAUACACACACACACACACACACACAGAGGAAUGACAAAGCAAAUAAGUAAUUACAUUGAUGUGACUGAUAUUCAGCAUAGGGACCCAGGUAAAAUCAAAAAAUGUCCUACAAACAAUAAACAACCCCAGGAUCAGUGAACACUUUUC